ACGUGAUCUGAGUUCAGACCGGAGUAAUCCAGGUCGGUUUCUAUCUAUACCAGUGCUUAUUCUAGUACGAAAGGACCGAAAAAGCAUGGCCUAUGUCAUAUGCAAGCCAUCAAUAAUAAUUUAUGCCCGCAACUUAAUUUAUAAAUAAACUUCAACCUACCUCAAGACAAGAGA
rnacentral:rRNA from 1 species